UACGAAGGGGGCUAGCGUUGUUCGGAAUUACUGGGCGUAAAGCGCACGUAGGCGGAUUGUUAAGUUAGGGGUGAAAUCCCAAGGGCUCAACCCUGGAACUGCCUUUAAUACUGGCAAUCUCGAGUCCGAGAGAGGUGAGUGGAAUUCCGAGGUGUAGAGGUGAAAUUCGUAGAUAUUACGGAAGAACACCAGUGCGAAGGCGGAACUUACCUGGACACAUAAUUGGACGCUGAGGUGCGAAAGCGAUGGGGGAGCAAAGCAGGG
rnacentral:rRNA from 1 species